AGACAGGUCUCCAGGAAUUGUCUCCAGUGAAAGAGAGAUGCUUUGUGCCAGGGAAUGCUCCUUCCCUGGGGAGAGCACACAUCAAAUGUGGGAGUAAAAAGGUAAUGCCCCACUACUUGUUGUAGCGAAUCUUUGAAGGGCCAUCCUAGCUCCAGAAUAGUCUAUGAACUUGAUUAAAUCCUCAACUGCGUCACAGUUCAACUUCUCCCUCUGCUCAGCCCUGCUUCCCUCUCUCUUUUACAGGUGUUGUUCCUGGGAGCAUCCCUAAUGAAUGUUCCACAUGCAGAUGUCCAUCUGAGUCUGUUUCCUCAGAAAUUGACAUAAGACACUCAUUUAUAUAAAAACAGCCACUUGAUUUGGACAAAGCCAUCGUGAGCAGCUGUAAUCUGUCACAGUGAAAACCUCAAAUAAACAACAGCAAAACCCAUCGGUUUUAUGGUUUGUGGUUCAGAAGCAACAAUAUGCAAAACAGUGGAAUAGUCUAUGCUGCCCUGCACCUGAAUAAGCCUUCUCUUGUCCUGCAAGAGCUGAAGAACCCAGAAUCCUUGUGCCUGCGGGAACUGACUAAAUGUUAGAGCACCCUGGGAGGGGCCAAGCCCGUCAGGGUCAAGGCAAGUAGUGAGGGGCGCGAUCACCCUCAGGGGCCCACUGUGUAACCAGAGCUGUGUACAUGUAUGCAGGGUGUGGAGAAUGACCCACCAUGGGCCAUUUCUCCUCAAGGCUCUGGAGUUUCCAAUUUGGGAAUUUAGUUAAAGAAGUAAUUCCCCACUAAUUGGUUAUAAAGCUAUUCUGCUACAUUAUAUGUUACUAACUUUGUAGUAUUAUCUUUUGCAUUUAGGAAUUUAUUCCUUUCUGAAUAAAACUUUGCUUGUGUCUUUCAAAAAUGA